AUGGGUCCCAUCCCCAGGCCCCAGUCCCAGUCACACCCUCAAUCCCAGUCUUGUCCCAGUCCCAGUCUGGUCCCAGUCCCAGUCUUGUCCCAGUCUUGUCCCAGUCCCAGUCUGGUCCCAGUCUUGUCCCAGUCCCAGUCGUGUCCCAGUCCCAGUCUUGUCCCAGUCUUUUCCCAGUCCCAGUCUAGUCCCAGUCCCAGUCUUGUCCCAGUCUUGUCCCAGUCCCAGUUUUGUCCCAGUCCCAGUCUUGUCCCAGUCCCAGUCUUGUCCCAGUCCCAGUCUUGUCCCAGUUCCAGUCUUGUCCCAGUCCCAGUCAUGUCCCAGUCUUGUCCAAGUCUUGUCCCAGUCUUGUCCAAGUCUUGUCCCAGUCCCAGUCUUGUCCCAGUCCCAGUCUUGUCCCAGUCUUGUCCCAGUCCCAGUCUUGUCCCAGUCCCAGUCUUGUCCCAGUCCAAGUCUUGUCCCAGUCUUGUCCCAGUCCCAGUCUGGUCCCAGUCUUGUCCCAGUCCCAGUUUUGUCCCAGUCCCAGUCUUGUGCCAGUCUUGCCCCAGUCCCAGUCUUGUCCCAGUCCCAGUCUCGUCCCAGUCUUGUCCCAGUCCCAGUCUUGUCCCAGUCUUGUCCCAGUCCCAGUCUUGUCCCAGUCCCAGUCGUGUCCCAGUCCCAGUCUUGUCCCAGUCCCAGUCUUGUCCCAGUCUUGUCCCAGUCUUGUCCCAGUCUUGUGCCAGUCUUGUCCCAGUCCCAGUCUUGUCCCAGUCUUGUCCCAGUCUUGUCCCAGUCCCAGUCUUGUCCCAGUCUUGUCCCAGUCCCAGUCUUGUUCCAGUCCCAGUCUUGUCCCAGUCCCAGUCUUGUCCCAGUCCCAGUCUUGUCCCAGUCUUGUCCCAGUCCCAGUCUUGGCCCAGUCCCAGUCUUGCCCCAGUCCCAGUCUUGUCCCAGUCCCAGUCUUGUCGCAGUCUUGGUCCAUCCCCAGUCUUGUCCCAGUCUUGUCCCAGUCUUGUCCCAGCCCCAGUCUUGUCCCAGUCCCAGUCUUGUCCCAGUCCCAUUCUUGUCCCAGUCCCAGUCUUGUCCCAGUCCCAGUCUUGUCCCAGUCUUGUCCCAGUCCCAGUCUUGUUCCAGUCCCAGUCGUGUCCCAGUCCCAGUCUUGUCCCAGUCCCAGUCUUGUCCCAGUCUUGCCCCAGUCCCAGUCUUGUCCCAGUCCCAGUCUUGUCCCAGUCUUGUCCCAGUCCCAGUCUUGGCCCAGUCCCAGUCUUGGCCCAGCCCCAGUCUUGUCCCAGUCCCAGUCUUGUCCCAGUCUUGGUCCAGCCCCAGUCUUGUCCCAGUCUUGUCCCAGUCUUGGUCCAGCCCCAGUCUUGUCCCAGUCUUGUCCCAGUCUUGUCCCAGCCCUAG
rnacentral:lncRNA from 1 species